CCAGCCGGUCUCAUUGUAGCCUCAGAGGCCCGCGCAUGCGCAGAACCGGCGCUCAGAGCGGCAGAGGGGCCGGCGAGCUGGAGAGCUGCGUGACGCGUGCACUGGAGGCAGGGUCCCUGGUGCGGAGGUGGCGGCUGCGCUGGUUUGUGUGUGGGGAUUGGCAGUUUCUGGAUCCUUCCUCCAGGAUUUUCAGCGCUGUGGAGCUCUCCUUUCUGCAGUGUGGAGGAGCGCUGGGCAGGAGGCGGCGCCGAGUCAUUCUACUUUUGGAAACCUGUCCCAAGGAGAUGCUCUCUCAUAUGAACAUUUCAGAUGCAGAGAUGAGUGUUUCUAGUAACAAAAAUUUGCAACAACUUUAAGAGCCAAGGAUGGGAGAUGGCUGCAUGGAUGAUGGCAUGCUCACAGAAAAACAGCUUUUGCCAACUUGUCUUUCCUCUUCUGCUCCCUCUGAGGGAUUCUGUGUUUUUAAGGGGCCGCUGUUACACUCGGGGAGGAUGGAAGUGCCGCCAGCCUGGAGGAUUGGGCCCUGGAGAGGGACUUCUCAGGUGGAGGCGGGAGCAGGAGGCCUGGGGACCUCUGCCAGGGCUGCCUGCUCACCUAGGCCCCAGUGGGCCAGCUGGAGACGCAGGCCUUCAGCCCUUGGUAGAGAUCUGGUGCAAACACACGAUGGCCUCACUGACAGAGGAGGCACAGGUAACAUCUGAUGGAACAAUGGAGCACACCCCAGGGGCGUGGAGCCUCAGCCCUCAUGUGUUACUGCCUCCUGCUGCCUCCCUGGGAUGGUUUCUCAGCUGCUCGCUCCCCACACGCCCGCACCCCAGAACCCAUGACCUCGUCUACCCUCUGUCUGGGAGCAAAUGGGUUCA